rnacentral:lncRNA from 1 species
ACAACGAGAUGACCUUCUACAACAUCUUACAGAUUGCAGCACAAAUCAAAGAAGUUAAAAUAGAACUUUUUAAUCUUCGAACUUUUUGAAUUGUAACAAUAUCAUAUUUGAUGAUGCAACAAUAUUUAAAAUGCUGCAUUAAUUAGAUAUUUAAUAUUUUAUCCAUAUUUAUUUUAAAAAAAUAGGCUGUGAAAUUUAAUUCCAAUAAUUCAGCAAGUCAAAAUAUCACAUGCCUUAUCCGUCGAGCUAGAAUUACACCUAUGUCACACCCCAAUAAUCCCACAUCGAAUAGAAAUGAGAAUAUGAUUGGGUAUAUAAGAGACUUAGACACUGGUAAUAAUAACUGGGCUUAAGCAUUUUGGGCCAGUGUUUGGGCCCAACGAGUUAUUGUUGCUAGUGGGCUGGGUCGUUACAUUUGGUAUCAGAGCCGGUUCACCAGCCAAAAAUGUAUUGCGAAUCUCGACUGAGUCAGGGUCUGAAAGGCAAUAUGAUCGGCUAUGCCAGAGUCUGAAUAACAAGAUAGCCGGCUAUGCCAGGGUCUGGAUGACAAGGCUAGCGAGACUGAGUCAGGGUCUGAAAGGCAAGGUGAUCGGGUAUGCCAGAGUCUGAAUAACAAGAUAGCCGGCUAUGCCAGGGUCUGGAUGACAAGGCUAGCGAGACGAGUCACCCCAAUAAUCUCACAUCGAAAAUAGAAAUGGGGAUAUGAUUGGGUAUAUAAGAGACUUAGACACUGGUAAUAAUAACUGGGCUAAGCAUUUUGGGCCAGUGUUUGGGCCCAACGAAUUAUUUUUGCUAGUGGGCUGGGACGUUACAAUCUAAUUAAAGUUCGAGAACUAAAAUGUAAUAUGCAGUAUAAAAGCUAAAAAUUACAACAAAUUAAAAUUUAAGGACCGAAAUGUCACGUGUCUCAUAAUUUGAGGACCGAAUAAUUUACUCUCAAACA